AAUAGCCCUAAAUUGGAAACAAACAUUCUUCAAUGGGUGAAUGGCCAAACUGUGUUAUAUGUAAUAGCACUCAGCAAAAAAAGGGAAAAACUACUGAUACAACUUAAGUGGAUAUAAAGGGCAUUAUAUGGAAAAGCCAGUACAAAAGCCAAUCUUGAAAGGUUACAUACUAUAUCAUUCCAUGUAUAUAAUAUUUUCAAAAUGACAAAAUUAUAGAGAUGAAGUGGGACUUUUAGGGAUUGGGGUGAGAGGAAGGAGGGGUGACUGUAGCUAUGAAUAGCAUGAGGAAGCCUUGGGAUAACAGAACAGUUCUAUACUUGAUUGUGAUGGUGGUUACCUGAAUUUAUACAUGGUUCUGAUAUUAUACCAAAGGUAUGUAAGAUUUUCCCACCCAUUGGAGGAAAAUGAGCAAAGGGUACACAAAACCUCUAUGUAUAUUUUUUGAAACUUUCUGUGAUUUUUAAAGUACUAUUGAUACAUGCAAUAACUUGGAUCUCAAGAGCAUUAUGCUGAGUGAAAAAAGCCAACUUCAAAAGGUCACACACUGUAUGAUUCCACUCAUACAACAUUUUUAAUACCUUCACUUGCUUUUAUUCAUAUACUAUUCUUGAAAUGACAACAAUUAUAGAGUAGAUAAUAAAUUAGUGGUUUCAGGGAUUAGGUACUGAAUGGAGGAGGGAGGUAUAGAUGGCACAAGAGAGAUCCUUAUGGUGAUGAAACACACAAAUGAGUGCAUGUAAAACUGGUACAAUCUGAACACGGUUUGUAUAUUGUACUACUGCCCAUUUUAUGCUUUUGAUAUUGUACUAGCUUUGUCCAGUGUUACCUCUGGAGGAAACUGGGAGAAAG
rnacentral:lncRNA from 1 species